CCUGCUGCUAGAGGUAUUGCAGGUGUGGCUGCUGUGUCACAUGUGCAGCAGUAGGUGGCAGAGUGAUUAGUAGCCUAACAUUUCCUGAAAAAAGUGAGCCUAAGACU
ensembl:snoRNA Gm22430 predicted gene, 22430